rnacentral:rRNA from 1 species
CCUACGGGUGGCAGCAGUGAGGAAUAUUGGUCAAUGGGCGCUAGCCUGAACCAGCCAAGUCGCGUGAAGGAUGACUGCCCUAUGGGUUGUAAACCUCUUUUAUAUGGGAAUAAAGUGCAGGAUUUAUACUGCUUUGCAUGUACCUUAUGAAUAAGGAUCGGCUAACUCCGUGCCAGCAACCGCGGUAAUACGGAGGAUCCGAGCGUUAUCCGGAUUUAUUGGGUUUAAAGGGAGCGUAGAUGGGUUGUUAAGUCAGUUGUGAAAGUUUGCGGCUCAACCGUAAAAUUGCAAUUGAUACUGGCAGUCUUGAGUACAGUUGAGGUACGCGGAAUGCGUGGUGUAGCGGUGAAAUGCUUAGAUAUCGCGAAGAACCCCGAUUGCGAAGGCAGCUUACUAAACUGAGACUGACAUUGAUGCACGAAAGUGUGGGUAUCAAACAGGAUUAGAUACCCGGGUAGUC